GGGGAGUACGGCCGCAAGGUUAAAACUCAAAUGAAUUGACGGGGGCCCGCACAAGCGGUGGAGCAUGUGGUUUAAUUCGAUGCAACGCGAAGAACCUUACCUGGUCUUGACAUCCACAGAACUUGCCAGAGAUGGCUUGGUGCCUUCGGGAACUGUGAGACAGGUGCUGCAUGGCUGUCGUCAGCUCGUGUUGUGAAAUGUUGGGUUAAGUCCCGCAACGAGCGCAACCCUUAUCCUUUGUUGCCAGCGGU
rnacentral:rRNA from 1 species